GAAGAUGAUAAUAUUAAUCUGCUAAAUUAGUAACCCAGCCCUAACCCCCUGGCAUCCU
rnacentral:tRNA from 1 species